CAUCCUCCAAGGCUAAAUACUCCUGACUGACCGAUAGUGAACCAGUACCGUGAGGGAAAGGCGAAAAGAACCCCGGCGAGGGGAGUGAAAAAGAACCUGAAACCGUGUACGUACAAGCAGUGGGAGCCCCACCACUAAGCCAGUGGUGAACUCCACAUACGCAUCCUUUGCUGAGGAUACGGUUAACGGAGCGAAAGCGACGUUCAACCUCAAAAGAAGCAGAGGGGGCUUAGUGGUGGGGUGACUGCGUACCUUUUGUAUAAUGGGUCAGCGACUUAUAUUCUGUAGCAAGGUUAACCGAAUAGGGGAGCCGGAGGGAAACCGAGUCUUAA
rnacentral:rRNA from 1 species